CCGUUUUCAGGUCCCUGUUCGGGCGCCACUUUGUCGGAAGCCAGCUGACCAAGUCAAACCGGAUACCUGAAAUGG
ensembl:miRNA